CCCAGUCCGUGCUGCUGAAAAAAGGGCAUGAUGCAACUACUACCAUGCUUCACCGUUGGGAUGUUAUUUCACAGGUGAUGAGUGGUGCCUACAUUCCUUUAGACAGGACACUUUGAAUUGAAGCCAGAUAUUUCAAUCUUUUUUUCAUCAGACCAGAGAAUCUUAUUUCUCACUGUCUGAAAGCCCGUUAGGUGAUUUUUUGAAAAUUCCAAGUGGGCUUUCAUCUGUCUUGAAGUGGGGAGAGGAUUCUGUUUGGCCAGAUCAGGGAAGGCCAGAUCAAGGAUGCUUUGCAGUGAGGCCUGUCCUUCCACAAGUUUCCCC